UACGAGAGGCCCAAACGUUAUUCGGAUUUACUGGGCUUAAAGAGUUCGUAGGCGGCCCGUUAAGUCGGAUGUGAAAGCCCUGGGCUCAACCCAGGAAGUGCAUACGAAACUGGCGGGCUUGAAUAUGGAAGAGGGUCGCGGAAUUCCCGGUGUAGAGGUGAAAUUCGUAGAUAUCGGGAGGAACACCCGUGGCGAAGGCGGCUCUCUGGAACGCAACUGACGCUGAGACGCGAAAGCGUGGGGAGCAAACAGG
rnacentral:rRNA from 1 species